rnacentral:rRNA from 1 species
AGCGGCGGACGGGUGAGUAAUGUCUGGGAAACUGCCUGAUGGAGGGGGAUAACUACUGGAAACGGUAGCUAAUACCGCAUAACGUCGCAAGACCAAAGAGGGGGACCUUCGGGCCUCUUGCCAUCAGAUGUGCCCAGAUGGGAUUAGCUAGUAGGUGGGGUAAUGGCUCACCUAGGCGACGAUCCCUAGCUGGUCUGAGAGGAUGACCAGCCACACUGGAACUGAGACACGGUCCAGACUCCUACGGGAGGCAGCAGUGGGGAAUAUUGCACAAUGGGCGCAAGCCUGAUGCAGCCAUGCCGCGUGUGUGAAGAAGGCCUUCGGGUUGUAAAGCACUUUCAGCGAGGAGGAAGGUGGUGAACUUAAUACGUUCAUCAAUUGACGUUACUCGCAGAAGAAGCACCGGCUAACUCCGUGCCAGCAGCCGCGGUAAUACGGAGGGUGCAAGCGUUAAUCGGAAUUACUGGGCGUAAAGCGCACGCAGGCGGUUUGUUAAGUCAGAUGUGAAAUCCCCGGGCUCAACCUGGGAACUGCAUUUGAAACUGGCAAGCUAGAGUCUCGUA